AACUCAGAUUCUUGUGCAGGCUUUCGUUAUAAGCCGCCUGGACUACUGUAACAGUCUUUUUUAUGGCCUUCCUUCAACCCAAUUGAGGAAAUUACAAGCUGUUCAAAACGCGGCAGCCCGGCUUAUCUGCAAUACUCCUCGGUUCGAUCAUAUCACUCCUGUCUUAUAUGAUCUUCAUUGGCUCCCGAUUAAGUCCCGCAUCGACUUUAAAAUCCUCUUUAUUACAUAGAAGGCCCUAAACAAUCAAGCUCC